AUUGAACGCUGGCGGAAUGCUUUACACAUGCAAGUCGAACGGCAGCACGGGGGCAACCCUGGUGGCGAGUGGCGAACGGGUGAGUAAUACAUCGGAACGUGCCCGGUCGUGGGGGAUAACGUAGCGAAAGUUACGCUAAUACCGCAUACGAUCUGAGGAUGAAAGCGGGGGACCUUCGGGCCUCGCGCGAUCGGAGCGGCCGAUGUCAGAUUAGGUAGUUGGUGGGGUAAAGGCCUACCAAGCCGACGAUCUGUAGCUGGUCUGAGAGGACGACCAGCCACACUGGGACUGAGACACGGCCCAGACUCCUACGGGAGGCAGCAGUGGGGAAUUUUGGACAAUGGGCGCAAGCCUGAUCCAGCCAUUCCGCGUGCAGGACGAAGGCCUUCGGGUUGCAAACUGCUUUUGUAUGGAACGAAAAGGCUCUGGCUAAUACCUGGGGCUCAUGACGGUACCGUAAGAAUAAGCACCGGCUAACUACGUG
rnacentral:rRNA from 1 species